UACGGGGGGCAAGCGUUGUUCGGAAUUACUGGGCGUAAAGGGCUCGUAGGCGGCCAACUAAGUCAUACGUGAAAUCCCUCAGCUUAACUGGGGAACUGCGUGUGAUACUGGAUGGCUUGGAUUUGGGAGAGGGAUGCGGAAUUCCAGGUGUAGCGGUGAAAUGCGUAGAUAUCUGGAGGAACACCGGUGGCGAAGGCGGCAUCCUGGACCAAUAUUGACGCUGAGGAGCGAAAGCCAGGGAGCAAACGGGG
rnacentral:rRNA from 1 species